ACCCUUUUCGUAAUCGAGUAGUAGAGUGUGCGAAAAUGGUGGAAAGUUCUCUAUGAGUAGUUUAUUAUUAUAUAUUAAAAUAUUUAUACAUAUAUGCUUGCUUAUACAUUAAUUAUUUAAAAAUUAAUUAGAUUUACGUUAGACGUGUAAAAUAUUCUUUCCGUGGAUGAUAAUAACUAAAUUAUUAGCUCGAGAUAUCUCUUCGUUUAUUGCAUGUGCUAUAAUUCCUUUAUGGAUAAAUGCAGAGAAGUAUUGAAGAUGCCAUGGAUAAAAGCUGUACAAGAAAUUUCAAAUUAUUUUCAAAAGGUUAUAUUUAAAAAAAAAAAUGAAAUAUUUACCAAUACAGUGAUAGUUGUGUAGCAUAUGACUCUGUAUAUUGUGCCCAUGUAAUAUAUUUCAAGUUUCAAUGGUGUUAAGCAUCCAGGACGAUGGGUAUUCCAUGGCGUUGGAUCUGAAAGUAUUGGUGUCAAUGAUGCCUUGCCUAAAUGAAGGUGGUUGAGGUGAAACGUAUCGAUGUACGAUUGAUUUUUGUUGUAAAUUUGGACUGAUUUCACUUGAAGAAGAUGCAAUCGUAGUAUACGUCUGCUCGGAGUGAAAAUAAUUUUAUGAUGAAUUGAUGGACAAAAUCAAUCAAUUAGUAUUAUGAUAUAUAUACUUGAUGUGUCGAUAACCAAUGGAUAGGAGUUUUGAUGUAUCGUUGAUUAUUCCAGCAUCCCUCGGUUUCACUGGAAAGACUAGAAAGUAAAUCGCGUAACACCUUGUCAAAGCAUCAGAAGCUAUAUCCUCAGGUGACAAAAUUUGAUCUUGUUUUUUUAACAAUUGAUUCAUAAUCACAGAUGUACUCAUAGAACUUUUAAAAUCAUUUCUCUCGUCCUUUUUAUCACAAAUUCUUGAAUUAGAGGUUGAAAAAUAAUCUACCAUUUUGUGAAUUAUGGACAUACACAUGUAAAUGUCAUGGAUGACAAUUGACAAUUGAUAAUCACUUGAAAUUGCUUUUUAAUAUUUUAACAACUAAUAAAUAACUCAUAAAUAUCAAUAGUUAAUUAUUUGAUCGAUGAAAGUACCAUAAAGUAUGAACUAGAAGUUCGCAGAAUCUUAAAGAAUAUUUUAAGAUCAGUUAAAAAGAUUAAAUGAAUAUAUACAUUUGUUAUUUUAAAUUUAACUUACAAUUGAAAAACCAUCUAGACAGUAGGUAAAUAUUUUUCCAGCGGUUAACCGAGAAGGUUCAAGACUUCUUUUCAUUAUCAAUAUCAGUAAUUUACGUACUUCAAUAGGUGCCUCGUACCAGAGACCACUGUAGCUAUAAAUACAAGAAAUAAUUUAUUAAUUUA